UCCUGUAUACUUGAAAAGAAAACUGAAAGUGCCUUUCUUCACAAGAAAUUAUUGUGUUUUCCUCUUUUUUUCAUAACCCACAGGGAAGAUAUCAGCCUGCUGGAGCCCACCCCGAGGAGCCCCGUGCUAUAUGAUAUGGGUCCUGGUGAUAGGAACCUCUCUUCUGGCUGUUAAAGUGCAUUCCUGUGUAGAUGUGGAAAGAGAGAAAGCAUGCUGGAGCCGGAGCUAGGAUAGGAAUGAGUCUGGGACACGGAGAAACCAUGCAACGUGCCUGAGAACUUACAGCAAAGCGUGAGAGAAAAGGAGCUGGGACACUGGAUUUAUGCGAUGCUGGAAAGCAAGCCAGUUCUGAUUACGGGUGGAUUUUUAUUAAAGCAGAAAUUGCAGUUCAACUCUUGAGUUUCUGAAGACAAAGGUGGCAGAAGGAGG